UGAAGCCGCUUCGGUGGUGGAUUAGUGGCGAACGGGUGAGUAACACGUGGGCAAUCUGCCCUGCACUCUGGGACAAGCCCUGGAAACGGGGUCUAAUACCGGAUAUGACUACUGAUCGCAUGGUUGGUGGUGGAAAGCUCCGGCGGUGCAGGAUGAGCCCGCGGCCUAUCAGCUUGUUGGUGGGGUGAUGGCCUACCAAGGCGACGACGGGUAGCCGGCCUGAGAGGGCGACCGGCCACACUGGGACUGAGACACGGCCCAGACUCCUACGGGAGGCAGCAGUGGGGAAUAUUGCACAAUGGGCGAAAGCCUGAUGCAGCGACGCCGCGUGAGGGAUGACGGCCUUCGGGUUGUAAACCUCUUUCAGCAGGGAAGAAGCGAGAGUGACGGUACCUGCAGAAGAAGCGCCGGCUAACUACGUGCCAGCAGCCGCGGUAAUACGUAGGGCGCGAGCGUUGUCCGGAAUUUUGGGGCGUAAUGAGCUCGUAGGCGGCUUGUCGCUUCGGAUGUGAAUGCCCGGGGCUUAACCCCGGGUCUGCAUUCGAUACGGGCAGGCUAGAGUUCGG
rnacentral:rRNA from 1 species